CCUAUAAAUAGGAGGGCCCAGGAGCAGGAUUACACCUGUGGGACUCUAGCAGGAGAGGCAGKGACAAGGCUGCCCUUGCCUCCCUCUGAGCCUUCCCAGACUGAGAGGAGGCCUGAGGCAUGGGGAGGGGAUGGAUGCUGCGGACCUUUGUGGGAUGCUGCGUGUGGAUUUUGCACGGGCUCAGGGCUGCCGUCGCAGUCCCUGUCACCACGGAGGGGCAGUUUGGGGUGGACACAGCUUUUCCCUCCGCCGCAGAGAGCCAAGUGACCCAAGCGCUGGUGCCGGAGAAUGCGGAGAUGAGUACUGCAGCGGCUCUGCUGCCAGGUACCGCAGCUGACGCUGAAAUCGCCGCCUCGCUGGCAGAUAGCUUUCUUGUUGGAGGCCCCACGAGCUCUUCCUUCCCCACUGGGGCAGAGCUGAGUGAUUUGGUGACAGCAGCAAAUGAAUACAGCUCCCGCUCAGCGGCAGGGAAUGAUACUGAGGCUGGUCCAUCACCUCCAGAGCAAGAAGAAACACAGGUGCCCACUGGAGACCCCCAAGCUUUGACAAACGUGACCAAGUUUCUUAAUGUGUCUCAGGAAAAUGAGUGGGGUUUGGAUGCUCCGGGUGCAGACGCUGCCUCAUUUUCCACACCUGAGCCCCUUUUCUCCCCAAAUGCAGAGCCUGACAUAGCAGGAGCUGCUCCUGACACAUCCCUUGGGACUACCCCAGCCUCCCUGCUCUUUGUGGAUGCCAAUAACAACUUCUCAGUGUCUGUGACAAGAGAGGGAGCAGAGGAUUUGGAGCCUGCUGCUGGCACUGCAUCUGUCCCACACUUCCUUUCUCCAUCAGCUGGUGGGGCACAGCCGACCACCAGGGCUAUUGAGGACCAGGCUGCUGACAGCCCCUUGGGUCUUGGCAUCACUGUGCCACCAAGCAGAGGGCUGGACACAGCCACCAUGGGAGUGAGCAAAGAAGGUGUAACCCUCGCUGCAGAUCUCCAAAGCAGAGCGAGUGCCCCCUCCUUGAGCCCAGACUCCGGGGCUGGGGAGCUGCUUGCAACAUGGCAGGAUGAGCAGGCAAGUGAGGCUGCUGGUGUCAUCCAGGGGCCGGCAGGAGAAACAGCCGUGGCUGCUGAGGAAGGUCCCACUCCUUUAGAGGCUGGAAAAGCAGGAGAUGCAAUAGAUGGUGGUUUUGGUGAACCUGACUUGUCCCAUCCACCUCUGGGGAGAGAGACAGUGUUGGAAGCAGUGAGAAACCCAGAGGAAACCUCCCGCCUUGCCAGCGAGACAGAGCUGAGCCCGGAUGMUUUGCCAGGACCCGACAGGAAUGAACAGGGAUCCUCAGGGGUGGAUAUAGGCAGUCCUAAUUCAGCCCCAUCUCCUGCAGCUAGUGAGGCACUUGCAGCACCCRCAGAGCCUGAUGUGCAAAGUGCCACCGCUUCCCUGGCUGCCAUGCUGCUCCCAGCGCACACAGAGCCACUGCCCACUGGGACUGUGGCUCCAGCUGAGCUUUCCCUGCACCCUGCCCCAUGGGACACUGCUGCUGGUGGUCUGCUGUCCCCUGUGGACAUCCCUACCGGGUCUUYAGCCUCCCUUGCCUCUUCCAGUGCUGCUGACUCUCCUCAGCCAGUCCUGAAUGCUGUGGCUGGCACCCUUUCCAGGGCUGACAAUGGAGCAGAGUUAUCGGUGAGCCCCAACCUCAGUGCUGCCAUGUCCCCAUCCCUCAGGGGGUCAGAGCCACAGGGGACAGCAGCUGGCACUUCUGAGGGAGCAGAGCUCCCCUCAGCUGAUGUACCAGGCACCAGCUUCAACCCAGCACCGGAUGUCCCCAGCCUAGCAUCCCUCGGACCUGCAUCACCUGUCCCCAGUGGCUUGCCUGGCGUGGGCCUGGGGCUGCCAGCAGCAGAGGGGAGUGAAGCCGGUGUGGUAGAGCAGGCACUGGGAGGAGGUGGCAGUGCAGCCAGGACUGAGCCAGAUCAGCUGCCUGACGCUGGGUCCCC
ensembl:lncRNA